UGUACGAACUCUGGGGUGGAGUCAUUUACACUUCCGGUCCUUCAGUUGAGAUUUUUGAAAAGAAGAUGGACGCCAUUGAAGUACAGCGUGGGAUCGUAAAAGGGUCAGCAAAAUGCUCAUCAAUGUCCAGUACCAUGGAGAAAAAAGUACCUCAAACUGCAGCCUGGUUUUUCUUUUCAAAGUUUCGAGAAGAAGGAUACCAGUACGAAGUCAAGGAAAAAGAUAUGCACUCAUUGUGACUGUUUCCUAAUCUCAGGGAUCCUUACUCCACCAAUGGCUAUGAACAUUUCUACGAUGCUGGAAGAGGGACGGGCUAUCUGGCAUGGCGCCUAAAGCAACGAGUGUCGCAGCGUUUGGUCAAGAACAGCUCGGGAGCCUUGGAAUACAUGAGCUUUUUAAGGAGGUAGACUUUCUAAUGAGGAGACACAGCACUCAAAAAAUCCUCCAUAGAAAUGCAUGGGGUUAGUUUGUAACGUAUGGUGUUGUCUACAUAUAUCACACCCCCCUCCGUGGCAAAACGUGGACAUGUAAAUACAUUGAGCCAAUCAUGUGGUGUGUUGUGAAGACAUUGAUUGUGCCAAUCAUGUGUUGUGAUC